AGGAACAGAUGUACUAGAGCUUUCAAAGAAAUGAUAAGACUAAAGGGCCACCGAAGUACAAUAGACAGUCUAAAGAUCAUCGGGACAGACAACCCAUCAUGGAAUAAUACAUUCUGCUUCGUGUGACACACUGCAUGAAACUUUAAAACGAUCAACAAUUGACGUUUAAAACGUCAGAUAACUUCCCCUGUACCAAAUGAGGUUUUGUGCUUAGGGAAUGGAGCAUUACACUUCAACAUGAUACAUUACGAAUAAUGAAGAAGGCGCUGGAGGCAGGUAAAGGCAAUAAUACUUGAUAAUGAGGAACCAGGAUGAUACUGAAGUGAUGUUGGACUGAUGGCAUUAUGAAUUGGACAAUGAACAAUGGAAACUGAUAAAUAAUAGUGGUCCAGGAUAAACAAUUUAAAGAAUAUUUUGUCAUGAUGUUACAUAUGCCUCCAGUGGCAGAGAAAACAUUAGACAACAAUGAAACAAACUCUAUUAAAAAAAGCAAUGGAAGUUUUUUUUUUUAUACUUGUUUACUGUCAAACUUAUUGCUAGAUUCUAUGGUUUAAUAUAUUCUUUAGAUUAGACCACGACUUACUGUCAACAGAAAGACAUUAAUGCUGAAGUCAUACACACAUUCAAUAAAAUAAAAUGAAACAUAGGUAAUGGGUUCAUAACCUUUCUAAUAAGAUGGGAACUGACAAAUUUACAAUUAUCAAUAAGGAAUAAACUUCACAGAUAUGCACCAUUGCAGCAAACAUUAUGUGAAAGGAUAAAAUACAACUGUCAGUUUGCUGAAUAAUUUAUCCAUCUCCGCAUGUCUGGACUCAAGUUAAUGGUUCACAUACAUAAUGAGUUGAUGGUGCAUUCAUCAUGCAUGGGCUUAUCUAACGCUAGGAUUAUUCAUGCUCCUACUGUAGGUUGAUCAUGGCAGAGUUUUAACCAGGGGCAUUUACAGUACAACAUUCAAGCAUUUACUUUUUUCA